AAGAAAGAAGGAAGAGGAGAGAGAGAGCUCGAUGGUGAUUGAAGCAUCGCGAGGAAGAAGAAUGGCAGCGGUGAGUGAUGGCUGAGGUGGAACAAGGACGAUGAUGAUGGUGGUAAAGAGAGGCUCGACGGUGGUGGUGGAGUUGUUGCUGCCGCAGGAGCCACCGUUUGAGAGGUAGAGGUUGAAGUUGGGUUGGAGAUAAUGAUAUUUGAUGGCUAAUUUGUGUAGAGCAGUGGCAGGCAGCUUCAGGUUUGGUUUAAUUUUGUUUCUGGAUUGGUACUGGAUAUGAAUUGGCAUUUGAUUUAGCUGGUUGAAUUGGUUUUAUUUAUGGCUGUGUUUGGCUGAAUGAGCUUGAAAAUGUUUAUAGUUUAGGUGUUUGAUUGGUUUAGUAUGUGGUUUUCUUAUGGCUGAAAGUUGUGAAUUCAAAUUAGUUAAGUUUCCUAAUAUAGUUUCUAGCUUUCUCAAGGUCAAGAGACUCUCUUAAACUUACUAAUCUCUUAGUUACAACUUAUGUGAGAAAAAGAUUAUGUUCUUAUGAAAAUUGCAUAACAACCACAUGUCUAUCUCUAGUUUUUGUUCAAAUUUUAUGUUGUUCAAUAAAUAGUUUCAUUUACAACCUCUUUCUCAAGUGUAUUAUAAAUCAAUAUAUCAUUUAAAUGGUGAUCAAGCAUCUAAAAGCAUUAAAAUUGGUUAUAAACCCACAUGAAUCAAAACAAAUAUUAUUGAAUGAUAUUGAUCUAUAAUUAUCCAAUUCACAUAAAAGGUUACAUCUUUGUCCUACCUAACAAAAUUAGUUCAUAAUCACACAAGUAAAACAUAAAAUAUAAGUAAAUGAUGAGAGAAAAUUGUACAUUAUUGAAAAUGAAGUUAGAUUGUUGAUUCCAAAUUCUAAUCUUCUCUAACUAUCUUUCCUCUAAUUUGUAUUUCUAUUUUGUGUGUAUCUCUCACUCCUCCACUCUAUAUCUCAAGUUCGAAGUGAGUUCUCUUUUUAUAGAGUAAGGAAUGCAUUAUUUUUCAAAAUCUAGCAUGCAUGUGUUUGAGGAACAUGAGAUUGUGGAAAUCUUUGAUUUUCUGCAAAAGCUAAUUGUAGUGACAACUUGAUUAGCUAGUUAUAGUCCAAAGCAAGUGCAUCUUUAAGUUGUCAUUGAAUUUAUGCAUGUUUGAGCCUUUUAAAUGAUUUUACCUUCAAUGAAAUCUGAAAAUUACACAAAUAUAAUAUUUUAUUUGACUAACAAUAUUAGUUAAUAAUAAUAAGUUAAACUAGACAUUUUUAUUGAAUUUUAACAAAAUAAAUUCAUAAACUAUCAUAAAAGAUAUGAAAAUAUAACUCUAGUUAGAAAGUUAUCAAUGUGUGAGGAAGAAGAAUAAGACGAAGAAGUGUGCGUAGGCGUACAUAUAACAUGACUUGGUUGGACUUUUUUACUAAAAACAUUUGGUCACCAAGUAUUUCUGUAUUUUUUAUUGGUGUGAUAAUAUGGAGUAAACAUGAGUGAUGGAGAAGUUACUAAUCUGUUAUUAA